rnacentral:rRNA from 1 species
CUAAGUGGCGGACGGGUGAGUAAUGUAUAGUUAAUCUGCCCUUUAGAGAGGAAUAACUACUGGAAACGGUAGCUAAUACCUCAUACUCCUUCUUUUUUAAUAAGAGUUGGGAAAUGUUUUCUCGCUAAAGGAUGAGACUAUAUGGUAUCAGGUAGUUGGUGGGGUAAGAGCCUACCAAGCCAAUGACGCCUAGCUGGUCUGAGAGGAUGAUCAGCCACACUGGAACUGAGACACGGUCCAGACUCCUACGGGAGGCAGCAGUGGGGAAUAUUGCACAAUGGAGGAAACUCUGAUGCAGCAACGCCGCGUGGAGGAUGACACAUUUCGGUGCGUAAACUCCUUUUAUAUGGGAAGAUAAUGACGGUACCAUAUGAAUAAGCACCGGCUAACUCCGUGCCAGCAGCCGCGGUAAUACGGAGGGUGCAAGCGUUACUCGGAAUCACUGGGCGUAAAGCGCGCGCAGGCGGCUAUUUAACUUGGAUGUGAAAGCCUACGGCUCAACCGUAGAACUGCAUCCAAAACUAUUUAGCUAGAGUGUGGGAGAGGAAGAUGGAAUUAGUUGUGUAGGGGUAAAAUCCGUAGAGAUAACUAGGAAUACCAAAAGCGAAGGCAAUCUUCUGGAACAUUACUGACGCUGAGGCGCGAAAGCGUGGGGAGCAAACAGGAUUAGAUACCCUGGUAGUCCACGCCCUAAACGAUGAAUGUUAGUCGUCGGGUAGCUAGUCUAUUCGGUGAUGCAGCUAACGCAUUAAACAUUCCGCCUGGGGAGUACGGUCGCAAGAUUAAAACUCAAAGGAAUAGACGGGGACCCGCACAAGUGGUGGAGCAUGUGGUUUAAUUCGAAGAUACGCGAAGAACCUUACCUAGCCUUGACAUAUAUUAGAACACUUUAGAGAUAGAGUGGUGCCUUCGGGAGCUUUUAUACAGGUGCUGCACGGCUGUCGUCAGCUCGUGUCGUGAGAUGUUGGGUUAAGUCCCGCAACGAGCGCAACCCUCGUCACUAGUUACUAACGGUUCGGCCGAGGACUCUAGUGAGACUGCCUUGUAAGGAGGAGGAAGGUGAGGACGACGUCAAGUCAUCAUGGCCCUUACGGCUAGGGCAACACACGUGCUACAAUGGCCAGGACAAUGAGACGCGAUACCGCGA